rnacentral:rRNA from 1 species
CACGGGGGGAGCAAGCGUUGUUCGGAAUCACUGGGCGUAAAGGGCGUGUAGGCGGUUCGGUAAGUGGAAUGUGAAAUGCUCCGGCUCACCCGGAGUACUGCAUCCCAAACUGCCGAGCUUGAGUAUGGGAGAGGAUGAGGGAAUUCCUGGUGUAGCGGUGAAAUGCGUAGAUAUCAGGAGGAACACCAACGGCGAAGGCAGCUCGCUGGGACGGUACUGACGCUAAGGCGCGAAAGCGUGGGGAGCGAACAGG